UUUCAGCAGCAACAGUUUCACACCAAACCAAAGCUCUCCGGGCAACACAUCUCUGAUGCAGUACAAAUCGUAAGCAGAACGAACUUGCCAUAACUAAAAAUACAGCGGUUAUCGCACAAAGGUCACAAACAUUAUGUUAUAUGUAGUGUACGAGUAGCGUCACAUCACAUCACAAUUAUAAGUAGCAUUCAGUAUUUCAGGUCGGCAGUCAUUGGUACAUCCAGCAGUCUUCUAUGGUUCGUUGGAUUCCAUAUACAGUAGUACGUACUCCCUCCGUUCGGAAUUACUUGUCGUAGAAAUGGAUGUAUCUAAACAUAUUUUAGUUCUAGAUACAUCCAUAUCCGAGACAAGUAAUUCCGAACGGAGGGAGUAGCUUCUUAAGACAACGGGACUCAAAUGCGGCCAUACCUGGAAGAAUGCAUUGCAAAUAAACUGUGAUUAGUGGAAAUUGAAAAAGGAAACAAGAUCAGGUAGAUUUGAUGAGGAAUCAGUCCUCCAUACUAACCCACAGAGAACAAAACCAAAUUAGCACACAUGAUUCAGUAUUCAUUUGUGAAUCUCAUUCCAGACAAGGCUCUAAAACAUAAAUGAUAAAUGCCAGCCAUGCUUUUAAUUGUGCGGCCUACUCGCAUACUAGGUACUUAUUUCGCAAUUUCAAACAAAAAGAAUCAAAGAAAGCAUAGUGUACUAAGCCCUCAUUGCACAAAGUCAAGCACAUGCAUAUCAUGCUGGCAAGUUAAAAGAAUAUAAUCU
rnacentral:lncRNA from 1 species